AUUGAACGCUGGCGGCGUGCCUAAUACAUGCACGUCGAGCGAAGCGGCGGAUGGGUGAGUAACGCGUGGGUAACCUGCCCUUAAGUCUGGGAUACCAUUUGGAAACAGAUGCUAAUACCGGAUACUAACGGAUGGACAGGGGAUGCAUUAGCUAGUUGGUAAGGUAACGGCUUACCAAGGCGAUGAUGCAUAGCCGAGUUGAUAGACUGAUCGGGCACAUUGGGAUUGCGACACGGCCCAAACUCCUACGGGAGGCAGCAGUAGGGAAUCUUCCAAAAUGGACGAAAGUCUGAGGGAGCAACGCCGCGUGAGUGAAGAAGGUUUUCGGAUCGUAAAGCUCUGUUGUUGGUGAAGCGGUAAUCAACCAGAAAGUCACGGCUAACUACGUGCCAGCAGCCGCGGUAAUAC
rnacentral:rRNA from 1 species